GCACGACAUUCACCGGGCAGAAGUGGCACCGAGAGACGUCUCCACCGGGCCAACCGCUAGCCCCACCCGGCUGACCGGUCAGACUAAGGUUACCUCAGAUGGAACCAAAUUAAUUCGGCGCUGUCAGGCGAGCACAACUAGACAUCGUCCAUUGGACAGAUCAACUCUGGGAUGCCUAGGCGAGGGAGAGGCACACAGCGAAGACCUGCUGUUGUCGGGCAGCCACAAGAAAACAUGGCAGUCGCAGUCGCUUCAGUUGCUGCCGACCUCCUUCCCGCAGUCGUUCAAAUCGUAAGAGACUGGUACGAUGCUAGUAGACGAGAUGACACGGCCGGGGCGGAGCAGCGUGAGGCGCAGGAACAACGGGAAGAGGAGGUGCCACAAGUGCAACAUGAACUAGAAAGAGAGAGAAAAGCAAGAGCAGACCUCGAAAGGAAAGUUCAAGAAAUGCAAGACAUGAUCAUGAUGAUGGCCAGAGCUAAUCAGGACGCACAUCUAAAAUCUCAAGAGACGAUGCGUAAGAUGCAAGAAGAAUUUGAAAGGGAACGCCAGACCCUCAGAGAAGAGAUCCAAAGGUAUCAAAGAGAGGUGCAGGAACAAGUAGAAGAUACUAAUAUGGUGAUGGCGGGAGCGGUCGGAGAGGCUACAUCAGGGACCUCCCAUCCAGGGCUGCGGAGACGGUGGAUUUUUUGGUGACUCUGACUCCGACUGCGACUCCAGCUCAUUCUCCGGACAUUGAUCCUCAAGUCCAUAUUGUUAAAAAGCUCAUGUCGGAUAUCUGUUUAUUUUGCCCUUUGAGUACUCCAAGACUUUACAUCGGAAAUAUAUUUUUAAAUAGCACGCGAAAAUAAAACAGAUUCUGGUGCAGCCGGCCAUU